rnacentral:rRNA from 1 species
AUUCCAGCUCCAAUAGCGUAUAUUUAAGUUGUUGCAGUUAAAAAGCUCGUAGUUGGAUUUCGGGUGGGCUGCGCCGGUCUCCUAACGGUUGUACUGGCGACGCCUGCCUUGCUGCCGGGGACGGGCUCCUGCCUUUACUGUCGGGACCCGGAAUCGGCGACGUUACUUUGAGUAAAUUAGAGUGUUCAAAGCAAGCCUACGCUCUGAAUAUGAUAGCAUGGGAUAACACGACAGGACUCUGGCCUAUCGUGUUGGUCUGUAGGACCAGAGUAAUGAUUAAGAGGGACAGUCGGGGGCAUUCGUAUUCCGUUGUCAGAGGUGAAAUUCUUGGAUUUACGGAAGACGAACAUCUGCGAAAGCAUUUGCCAAGGAUGUUUUCAUCA